rnacentral:lncRNA from 1 species
UGGCAAGGGCCUGGUUGGGGACCUCCAGGGGUUGAGAGCAUCCUCUGGACAACAUGGAAAAAGAAAAUGAAAAUGGUGACCUCAGCCCUAUAGCUAGAAGGAAUUGAAUCCUGUCAACAACGAUACUCAUCACUCACUGCAGAUGUUACUUUAAGACAUUCUGGAGCAGCGUCAUGUGCAGGAACAAUAAGGAAGUGAGUGCUUUUGUAAUUCCUGAACAACUGUGUCUUACACUUACUAAGGGAUUCAUGGGCAAUAUGACUGAAUAGGAACAGCUCCAGUCUGAAGCUCCCAGUGAGACCAACAUAGAAGUUCUCUUGCCUGCCACCAUGUAAGAUAUGCUUUUACUCUUCCGCCUUCCACCGUGACUGUGAGGCCUCCCCAGCCAUGUGAAACUGCCUUUGAGCUUAUACUGAAUUAUACCACCAGCUUUCCUAGGUCUUGAAGCUUACAGACAGCAGAUCUUGGGACUUCUCAGGCACCAUAAUCAAUCAUAGAUAAAUGAUCCAAUGAUUCGGAACUUGAAAAGUGGUAGCUUUAUGAAUUCUCCUUAAGAAGAAACCUGUGCCCUGAUCUUGCCUACUCACCCAAAGGCACUGUGAGAUAGCAUCAAAGGAACAGCUAGUAAGAGACACAGAGCCAGAAAUCAGGGAAGUAAAAUACACUUGACAUCUACGUUCGGAAAGAAAUUUUAGGAGGCAGAAGCAAAUGGAUCAGAAGCUGCUUAUAUUUUUGCAAGAUUACCAAAGAAACCAUUGGUGGAGAAAGUUCUGUGACCAACUUGUCUGAGUCUAGCUCCGGAAAGCUGCCUAAAGUAGAUGGAGUCUUCUCUGUGUGUGCCCCACUGGUCCUGCAGUUGAAGGAUCCGGUAAAGCAGCCUGCCCUUGGUUUUAUACUCCAGAGGAACGUGAUUCGCUGGACUAAAGCAUUGAAGUGCAUCCUGUUUCCGGGGGGCACUGGAACAGAGCCUGGUCUGUUCUAGCCAGUCCCUUUCUAUCUCAGGAUAACAUUCUACAGUUAUUCUUGAGAACUAUAAUCAAAUAAGCAGGGAGAACUGGGAAAGCAGAGGCUCAUUGUGGAACCCUCAAGGAGCAUGGGGUCGUCUUCAUCCCUCAGUUUAUAAAUGGCCAAGGAGAGUAAUGCAACAAAAACUUCUCAGAGUUAAAAGCCAGAGUUCCUAAAGAACCGUGGACAAAGGGUUCUGUCUAGUGGGCAGAAUUCAUCCAGCGAAGGUCUCCUAACUACAGAGGGUCACAUCUGGAUCUGAUGGCACCUACAGAACUUGGACUCUGAGCGACAAUCAGUGACCAGGAAAUUUGGAACCCAGGUUUUCCCAACCUACAUCUACAAAAUGGAAUGGGUCUGAUUCGCAAGUUUUCAGAGAAAGAAGCCAACCUUAAUCAGACUGUGAUAUGAUGAGGAAAUAAAACUUGCUGUGCUAA